rnacentral:rRNA from 1 species
AGCGAACGCUGGCGGCGUGCUUAACACAUGCAAGUCGAACGUGAAAGUAGCAAUAUGAGUAAAGUGGCGUACGGGUGAGUAACACGUGGGUAAUCUACCAAAGAGUCUGGGAUAACCGGCCGAAAGGCUGGCUAAUACUGGAUAGAUCAAGCGCAUUAUAAAGGUGCGAUUGGGAAAGGGAGCUCGUAAGAGCCUUCGCUUUUUGAUGAGCCCGCGUCUGAUAGCUAGUUGGUGAGGUAAUGGCUCACCAAGGCGACGAUCAGUAGCUGGUCUGAGAGGAUGAUCAGCCACACUGGAACUGAAACACGGUCCAGACUCCUACGGGAGGCAGCAGUGGGGAAUCUUGCGCAAUGGACGAAAGUCUGACGCAGCCACGCCGCGUAAGUGAAGAA